AUUUAAAAGAAGACCACAUGUCUUCUGAUCUCAGAAGGUAAGCAGGAAUGGGCCUGGGUAGUCCUUGGAUGAGAGGCCCCCUGGGAAUACCAGGUGCUAUAAGUU
rnacentral:rRNA from 1 species